rnacentral:snRNA from 1 species
AUACUCUGGUUUCCCUUCAGAUCAUAUAAAUCUUUCACCUUUUACUAAAGAUUUCCAUGGAGAGAAACAAUUAUGAGUUUUAUCUCAAUUUUUUGAGGUCUUGCUUUUUGAGCUAGGGCU